rnacentral:rRNA from 1 species
AGAGGGUGCGAGCGUUAAUCGGAAUGACUGGGCGUAAAGGGCGUAUAGGUGGAAGUACAAGUCAAAGGUGAAAUCCCCGGGCUUAGCCUGGGAACUGCCUUUGAAACUGUGCAUCUAGAGUAUAGGAGAGGAAAGUGGAAUUUCCGGUGUAGCGGUGAAAUGCGUAGAUAUCGGAAGGAACACCAGUGGCGAAGGCGGCUUUCUGGCCUAAUACUGACACUGAGGCGCGAAAGCGUGGGGAGCGAACAGGAUUAGAUACCCUGGUAGUCCACGCUGUAAACGAUGAGAACUAGAUGUUGGCUGGCUAAGACCAGUUAGUAUCGUAGCUAACGCGUUAAGUUCUCCGCUGGGGAUCGACCGCAAGGUU